rnacentral:rRNA from 1 species
AUGGCUUGGUUGUAUGGAGAGUUGGUGAAUGCAAAGAGGGAGAUGAAGGAGGCAUUUAACAACUUGGAGAGGAACUACAAAGAUACUAUGGGCAUUGUUGAAAAGAAGAUGAAUGGAAGGCUAGAUUCUCCACUGCACAUGGCCGCAUAUGUGUUGAACCCACACUACAGUUAUGCAAAUAGCUCCGUCUUUACCACUGCAAAUGAAGGAUUUCAGGAGUGUGCUGAACAAUACUAUGCAAAUGAUCAUGAUACUUGCAUGCUGGUUGUCAAUGACGAGUUUCUGAAAUAUGAAAACAAAGAAGGAACUUUUGGAAAGAAGCUUGCAAAAGCAUGUGAAAAUAAAAGCUACAGCCCCGAUACAUACCAAGAGAAGAAAUAG